rnacentral:rRNA from 2 species
GGACUACCGGGGUAUCUAAUCCCGUUCGCUCCCCUAGCUUUCGCGCCUCAGCGUCAGAAGAGGUCCAGCACGUCGCUUUCGCCACCGGCGUUCCUUCCGAUAUCAACGCAUUUCACCGCUCCACCGGAAGUUCCACAUGCCCCUACCUCGCUCAAGACGGUCAGUAUCAGAGGCUGUUUUCCGGUUGAGCCGAAAGAUUUCACCCCUGACUUGACCACCCGCCUACGCGCCCUUUAAGCCCAGUGAUUCCGAACAACGUUUGCACGGUUCGUCUUACCGCGGCUGCUGGCAC